rnacentral:tRNA from 1 species
GCCGAGGUGGCGAAACGGUAGACGCGCUACGUUCAGGGCGUAGUGUCCGCAAGGACGUGCGGGUUCGACUCCCGCCCUCGGCACCA